AGUCGUAACAAGGUUUCCGUAGGUGAACCUGCGGAAGGAUCAUUACAGAAUGAAAAGUGCUUAACUGCAUUUUUUCUUACACAUGUGUUUUUCUUUUUUUGAAAACUUUGCUUUGGUAGGCCUUCUAUAUGGGGCCUGCCAGAGAUUAAACUCAACCAAAUUUUAUUUAAUGUCAACCGAUUAUUUAAUAGUCAAAACUUUCAACAACGGAUCUCUUGGUUCUCGCAUCGAUGAAGAACGCAGCGAAAUGCGAUAAGUAAUAUGAAUUGCAGAUAUUCGUGAAUCAUCGAAUCUUUGAACGCACAUUGCGCCCUUUGGUAUUCCAAAGGGCAUGCCUGUUUGAGCGUCAUUUCUCCCUCAAACCCUCGGGUUUGGUGUUGAGCGAUACGCUGGGUUUGCUUGAAAGAAAGGCGGAGUAUAAACUAAUGGAUAGGUUUUUUCCACUCAUUGGUACAAACUCCAAAACUUCUUCCAAAUUCGACCUCAAAUCAGGUAGGACUACCCGCUGAACUUAAGCAUAUCAAUAAGCGGAGGA
rnacentral:misc_RNA from 1 species